UACAGAGGUGGCAAGCGUUGUUCGGAAUUACUGGGCGUAAAGGGCGAGUAGGUGGCCAUCUAAGUCAGACGUGAAAUCCCCCGGCUUAACCUGGGAACUGCGUCUGAUACUGGACGGCUAGAGUAUGGGAGAGGGAUGUAGAAUUCCAGGUGUAGCGGUGAAAUGCGUAGAUAUCUGGAGGAACACCCGUGGCGAAGGCGGCCUGCUGGGCCGAUCCUGACGCUGAGGCGCGAAGGCGUGGGGAGCGAACGGG
rnacentral:rRNA from 1 species